rnacentral:rRNA from 1 species
AGCGAACGCUGGCGGUAGGCCUAACACAUGCAAGUCGAACGGCAGCACAGUAAGAGCUUGCUCUUAUGGGUGGCGAGUGGCGGACGGGUGAGGAAUACAUCGGAAUCUACUCUUUCGUGGGGGAUAACGUAGGGAAACCUACGCUAAUAUCGCAUAUGACCUACGGGUGAAAGCAGGGGAUCUUCGGACCUUGUGCGAUUGAAUGAGCCGAUGUCGGAUUAGCUAGUUGGCGGGGUAAAGGCCCACCAAGGCGACGAUCCGUAGCUGGUCUGAGAGGAUGGUCGGCCACACUGGAACUGAGACACGGUCCAUACACCUACGAGAGGCAGCAGUGGGGAAUAUUGGACAAUGGGCGCAAGCCUGAUCCAGCCGUACCGCGUGGGUGAAGAAGGCCUUCGGGUUGUAAAGCCGUUUUGUUGGGAAAGAAAAGCAGCAGGUUAAUACCCCGCUGUUCUGACGGUACCCAAAGAAUAAGCACCGGCUAACUACGUG